UCCCAUCCAGCUCAGUUGGUUAGAGCAUGGAGCUGAUAAUACCAAGGUUUGCAGGUUCAAUCCCCAUAUGGGACAG